rnacentral:misc_RNA from 1 species
UAGGCUUUUAUGGAUUCAUUUUAUGUUGAUUUCUUUUUCUUAUAAAAAAUGGCUAAUUGUUUGUCUUUUAUCAAGUAUUGCUGUCAAUGCUUUGACAAAUUAUCAGAAUGAUAACACUUUGUAAAAUUCACUUGGCAUAAUUUGAAUAUGCUUGAAGAUUAGGGAUGCUGGAUUGUUGUCUCUGCCUUCAGGUUAUACUUAUCAUUGUUAUAUUGAGUAGGCAAAAUUGUUUAUGAAUCAUAUGAUUAUCCUAGUUGGAACAUUAAAUUGUUAGUUGUUGGUGAAGAGGGUUGGUGAAAUAGUGUGGUUUGGCUGUGAACAUGUGGAGUUUUAAACUGUGCUAUGCUUUCUCUGAUUAUCAUUUCUAAUAAAUUUUUGUGCUGGCAAUUCUGUAUUUCUAAUUUUAUGAACUAAUUCAUUGAUCAUUUGCCAUUUCAAAGUUGGUAUUAUGUUGCUGUAGUGUGAUGGAAGUUUUCUGGGCUAUGUCUGUGGUGUUUGUAUCAGGCAAUAAUUAGUACAGAAAAUUAAUAAAUGCACUAGAAUCUUUGUAAAGAUGUUUAAGAAUUCUAUAAAAUAUUGAAACCAAUGAAAGUGAUAUUAUUUUUUGUGGAGGCUUCACAAAUUACAAGUACUAUGUCUUAAAGAUUCGGCGGCUUUUCUUUUUUCUUUCCUCACUCAGGAACUCUAUAUGGUUAAUAGAUCUGCCAAAAUUGAAUUGGUGAGGGUGGAAUAUCUUCUAGCUCAAUGCAG